rnacentral:rRNA from 1 species
AAUGAACGUUGGCGGCGUGGAUUAGGCAUGCAAGUCGUGCGGAAGUGGCCCGCAAGGGUUACUUUAGCGGCGAAAGGGAGAGUAAUACGUAGGUACCUACCCCUGGAACCGGGAUAGCUGCGGGAAACUGCAGGUAAUACCGGAUAACGUCUCCGGACCAAAGGUGUGAUUCCGUCCGGGGAGGGGCCUGCGUCCUAUUAGCUAGUUGGUGAGGUGAUGGCUCACCAAGGCAAAGAUGGGUACGGGGUAUGAGAGUAUGCCCCCGCUCACUGGGACUGAGACACUGCCCAGACACCUACGGGUGGCUGCAGUCGAGGAGCUUCGGCAAUGGGGGAAACCCUGACCGAGCGACGCCGCGUGUGGGAUGAAGGCCCUCGGGUUGUAAACCACUGUCAGAGGGGAUGAAAUGCUAUGGGGCUCUCUCCAUAGUUUGACAUAUCCUCAGAGGAAGGACGGGCUAAGUUCGUGCCAGCCGCCGCAGUAA